GUCAAAUGACUCAAGGCGUAGGGUGGAUACCUAGGCACCUAGAGACGAUGAAGGGCGUGGUACCAACGAAAUGCUUCGGGGAGUUGGAAACGAACUAUGAUCCGGAGAUUCCCGAAUAGGGCAACCUUACACACUACUUGCUGAAUUCAUAGGCAAGUUGGAGACAACUCGGUGAACUGAAACAUCUUAGUAGCCGAAGGAAAAGAAAGCAAACGCGAUUCCCUGAGUAGUGGCGAGCGAAAAGGGACCAGCCUAAACCAGACUUCUUGUCUGGGGUCGUGGGAAAAUGUCACAAGUUUUUAGCACAUGAUAGACGAAGCAGCUGAAUCCUGCACCCAAGAUGGUGAAAGUCCAGUAGUCGAAAUCGUGUCUGAAAACGACGUUUAUCCCGAGUAGCAUGGGACACGUGAAAUCCCGUGUGAAUCUGCGAGGACCACCUCGUAAGGCUACAUACUCCUAGGUGACCGAUAGUGAACCAGUACCGUGAGGGAACGGUGAAAAGAACCCCUGUCGGGGAGUGAAAUAGAACAUGAAACCCUAUGCUGACAAACAGUGGGAGGCGUUCGCGCUGACCGCGUUCCUGUUGAAGAAUGAGCCGGCGACUUAGACCAAAUGGCAAGGUUAAGGAAUAUAUCCGGAGCCAGAGCGAAAGCAAGUCUGAAAAGGGCGUAUGAAAGUCAUUUGGUCUAGACCCGAACCCGGGUGAUCUAACCAUGACCAGGAUGAAGCUUGGGUAACACCACGUGAAGGUCCGAACCGACCGAUGUUGAAAAAUCGGCGGAUGAGUUGUGGUUAGGGGUGAAAUACCAGUCGAACUCGGAGCUAGCUGGUUCUCCCCGAAAUGCGUUGAGGCGCAGCGGUGUGUGACACUCUCUAGGGGUAAAGCACUGUUUCGGUGCGGGCGGCGAAAGCUGUACCAAAUCGUGGCAAACUCUGAAUACUAGAGAUGCAUGGACACGCCAGUGAGACAGUGGGGGAUAAGCUUCAUUGUCAAAAGGGAAACAGCCCAGAUCACCAGCUAAGGCCCCAAAAUGGUCGUUAAGUGGCAAAGGAGGUGAGAAUGCAGAAACAACCAGGAGGUUUGCUUAGAAGCAGCCACCCUUUAAAGAGUGCGUAAUAGCUCACUGGUGGAGCGUUCUCGCGCCGAAAAUGUCCGGGACUAAAUGACCUGCCGAAGCUGUGGGAUUUCAUUGCCAUUGACCCUUGACCAAAUAGUGUUCCAAAAUAGAUUUUGGAAACGGUCAAAUGGUCAACGAGAUGCAAGAGAUCGGUAGGGGAGCGUUCUGCUUGAGGGUGAAGCAGGGCCGUGAGGCACCUGUGGACCGAGCAGAAGUGAGAAUGUCGGCUUGAGUAACGAAAGCAUUGGUGAGAAUCCAAUGCCCCGAAAACCUAAGGAUUCCUCCACAAGGUUCGUCCAUGGAGGGUGAGUCAGGACCUAAGGCGAGGCCGAAAGGCGUAGUCGAUGGACAACAGGUUAAUAUUCCUGUACUCACAUGUAUGUGGUAUCGAAGGACGGAGGCGGUUAUAAGGAGCCGAUACUGGGUGUCGGCGGAAACGUUCAAGGUGUUGAGAGGUCGAAGAAAAACGAACCUUGAGCUAAGGCGUGAUACGUGAAUGUCACUUGUGAUAUUUCAUUCUUGAUUGAUCAUACUCCCAAGAAAAGCUCGUACUACCGAUACAUAUAUGUGACCUGUACCGUAAACCGACACAGGUAGGUUGGUAGAGUAUACCAAGGGGCGCGAGAUAACUCUCUCUAAGGAACUCGGCAAAAUGACCCCGUAACUUCGGGAGAAGGGGUGCCUUCAGUUUUCUGAAGGCCGCAGUGACCAGGCCCAGGCGACUGUUUAUCAAAAACAUAGGUCUCCGCAACGUCGUAAGACAACAUAUGGGGGCUGACGCCUGCCCAGUGCCGGAAGGUUAAGGACGUUGGUGCAAGCUGACAACCGAAGCCCCGGUGAACGGCGGCCGUAACUAUAACGGUCCUAAGGUAGCGAAAUUCCUUGUCGGGUAAGUUCCGACCCGCACGAAAGGCGUAACGAUCUGGGCGCUGUCUCGGAGAGAGACUCGGUGAAAUAGACAUGUCUGUGAAGAUGCGGACUUCCUACACCUGGACAGAAAGACCCUAUGAAGCUUGACUGUAGCUUGGCAUUGGGUUCGGGCUCUUCUUGCGCAGCCUAGGUGGGAGGCAAUGAAUAUGUACUUUUGGGUACAUAGGAGCCGUACGUGAGAGACCACUCUGGAAGAGCUAGAAUUCUAAGAACGUUCCUUGAAGCAGGACGUUUGACAGUGUCAGGUGGGCAGUUUGACUGGGGCGGUCACCUCCUAAAAGGUAACGGAGGUGUGCAAAGGUUCCCUCAGGCUGGACGGAAAUCAGCCGGAGAGUGUAAAGGCAGAAGGGAGCUUGACUGCAAGACUGACACGUCGAGCAGGGGCGAAAGCCGGCCUUAGUGAUCCGACGGUGCCGCGUGGAAGGGCCGUCGCUCAACGGAUAAAAGUUACUCUAGGGAUAACAGGCUGAUCUUCCCCAAGAGUUCACAUCGACGGGAAGGUUUGGCACCUCGAUGUCGGCUCAUCGCAACCUGGGGCGGUAGUACGUCCCAAGGGUUGGGCUGUUCGCCCAUGAAAGCGGUACGUGAGCUGGGUUCAGAACGUCGUGAGACAGUUCGGUCCAUAUCCGGUGUAGGCGUUAGAGCAUUGAGAGGAGUCUUCCAUAGUACGAGAGGACCUGGAAGAACGCACCUCUGGUGUACCAGUUCUCCUGCCAAGGGGAUACGCUGGGUAGCCAUGUGUGGAGUGGAUAACCGCUGAAAGCAUCUAAGUGGGAAGCCCACCUCAAGAUGAGUGCUCUCCAUGAGAUCACGGCAAGACGAGCCGGUUGAUAGGCAGCAAGUGGAAGGCCAGUAAUGG
rnacentral:rRNA from 1 species